rnacentral:rRNA from 1 species
UACGAAGGGGGCUAGCGUUGCUCGGAAUCACUGGGCGUAAAGCGCACGUAGGCGGCCUCUUAAGUCGGGGGUGAAAGCCCAGGGCUCAACCCUGGAACUGCCUUCGAUACUGGGAGUCUUGAGUGUGGAAGAGGUUGGUGGAACUGCGAGUGUAGAGGUGAAAUUCGUAGAUAUUCGCAAGAACACCAGUGGCGAAGGCGGCCAACUGGUCCGAUACUGACGCUGAGGCGCGAAAGCGUGGGGAGCAAACAGG